UACUCGAGUGGCGAACGGGUGAGUAACACGUGGGUGAUCUGCCCUGCACUUUGGGAUAAGCCUGGGAAACUGGGUCUAAUACCGGAUAGGACCACGCGCUUCAUGGUGUGUGGUGGAAAGCUUUUGCGGUGUGGGAUGGGCCCGCGGCCUAUCAGCUUGUUGGUGGGGUAAUGGCCUACCAAGGCGACGACGGGUAGCCGGCCUGAGAGGGUGUCCGGCCACACUGGGACUGAGAUACGGCCCAGACUCCUACGGGAGGCAGCAGUGGGGAAUAUUGCACAAUGGGCGCAAGCCUGAUGCAGCGACGCCGCGUGAGGGAUGACGGCCUUCGGGUUGUAAACCUCUUUCGCCAGGGACGAAGCGCAAGUGACGGUACCUGGAGAAGAAGCACCGGCCAACUACGUGCCAGCAGCCGCGGUAAUACGUAGGGUGCGAGCGUUGUCCGGAAUUACUGGGCGUAAAGAGCUCGUAGGUGGUUUGUCGCGUUGUUCGUGAAAACUCACAGCUUAACUGUGGGCGUGCGGGCGAUACGGGCAGACUGGAGUACUGCAGGGGAGACUGGAAUUCCUGGUGUAGCGGUGGAAUGCGCAGAUAUCAGGAGGAACACCGGUGGCGAAGGCGGGUCUCUGGGCAGUAACUGACGCUGAGGAGCGAAAGCGUGGGGAGCGAACAGGAUUAGAUACCCUGGUAGUCCACGCCGUAAACGGUGGGUACUAGGUGUGGGUUUCCUUCCUUGGGAUCCGUGCCGUAGCUAACGCAUUAAGUACCCCGCCUGGGGAGUACGGCCGCAAGGCUAAAACUCAAAGGAAUUGACGGGGGCCCGCACAAGCGGCGGAGCAUGUGGAUUAAUUCGAUGCAACGCGAAGAACCUUACCUGGGUUUGACAUGCACAGGACGUGCCUAGAGAUAGGUAUUCCCUUGUGGCCUGUGUGCAGGUGGUGCAUGGCUGUCGUCAGCUCGUGUCGUGAGAUGUUGGGUUAAGUCCCGCAACGAGCGCAACCCUUGUCUCAUGUUGCCAGCACGUUAUGGUGGGGACUCGUGAGAGACUGCCGGGGUCAACUCGGAGGAAGGUGGGGAUGACGUCAAGUCAUCAUGCCCCUUAUGUCCAGGGCUUCACACAUGCUACAAUGGCCGGUACAAAGGGCUGCGAUGCCGUGAGGUGGAGCGAAUCCUUUCAAAGCCGGUCUCAGUUCGGAUCGGGGUCUGCAACUCGACCCCGUGAAGUCGGAGUCGCUAGUAAUCGCAGAUCAGCAACGCUGCGGUGAAUACGUUCCCGGGCCUUGUACACACCGCCCGUCACGUCAUGAAAGUCGGUAACACCCGAAGCCG
rnacentral:rRNA from 1 species